UUUGAAGGUGUGCACAACUACCCUCACGUGUACUUCGGCGGGACAAUGGAGAAUGUGCCUAUUUCCUGCAAUGACCCCUGGUUCUUCCUGCACCACGUCUUUAUAGAUUGCAUUUUUGAAGACUGGGUCAGAUUUUACAAGGCGACCCCAAGUAACUACACAAGUACCACAGUUGAGGGACACAGGGCAACAGACUGCAUUGUACCUGGCAUUCCAUGCAAGAUGCAAAGGAGCUAUCUCCAAAAUUCAAACAAUCUGGGCUACACAUGUGACAUAUUCAAUGACAGCUAAUCUGGGACUGGCACGUGGUGUCACAAUGUUAUGCUGAUUUAGCACAACAAUUGCUGUGUGCAUAUCUGUGCAUUAUACAGCAUAUUGUAGGAGAUUAGCAAAUGAUUACACUAACAGAUAAAAAUGAUUGGAGCACAAAUAUGUAGGAAAUUAUGCAAAUGGCAAAUUGUAGUCAUCAGAUUAUUACAGAAUAUUUAUGUGCUACAAAACUUGUUUCAGACUAACAUAAAUCAAUUUACUCACCAAUAUUCACACUAAUCUGUUUAAUUGUGAAAUAAACCAAUGAUUUAAUCUA